UACGUAGGGUGCAAGCGUUAAUCGGAAUUACUGGGCGUAAAGCGUGCGCAGGCGGUUUUGUAAGCCAGAUGUGAAAUCCCCGGGCUCAACCUGGGAAUGGCAUUUGGGACUGCAAGGCUGGAGUACGGCAGAGGAGACUGGAAUUCCUGGUGUAGCAGUGAAAUGCGUAGAGAUCAGGAGGAAUACCGAUGGCGAAAGCGGCUCACUGGACCAUAACUGACGCUGAUGCACGAAAGCUAGGGGAGCAAACAGG
rnacentral:rRNA from 1 species